GGCCGGCCUCACCCGCCAAGCUAAUAUGUUUCCUUGGCUGCCCUUACCUGCCAAGGAAUUUGUGAUUUCCUUGACGCCAAAGAAACAAAUACCACCAUGAAAAAAUUACAAUAAAAUUUAAUAUCAUCCAAUCAUAUCCAAUAAAAUUUACUCAACCAGUAUUAAUAAUUGACUAUAACAGCUUGAAUUGGACAUUGUACACUCUUACAAAUAGAUCUGUACACUGACACCCAAAACAACUCCAAAGAUCAUUGUCCAGUAUCAAAUAAACACUAAUAAUAAACUUUUAUAACACCACAAUUCUUACUUUAUGCAAUUCUCAAUUCAAACCACAUGAUCC
rnacentral:lncRNA from 1 species